rnacentral:rRNA from 1 species
GAUGAACGCUGGCGGCGUGCUUAACACAUGCAAGUCGAACGGGAAACCUUUUAUUGAAGCUUCGGCAGAUUUAGCUGGUUUCUAGUGGCGGACGGGUGAGUAACGCGUGGGUAACCUGCCUUAUACAGGGGGAUAACAGUCAGAAAUGGCUGCUAAUACCGCAUAAGCGCACAGAGCUGCAUGGCUCAGUGUGAAAAACUCCGGUGGUAUAAGAUGGACCCGCGUUGGAUUAGCUGGUUGGUGGGGUAACGGCCCACCAAGGCGACGAUCCAUAGCCGGCCUGAGAGGGUGAACGGCCACAUUGGGACUGAGACACGGCCCAGACUCCUACGGGAGGCAGCAGUGGGGAAUAUUGCACAAUGGGGAAACCCUGAUGCAGCGACGCCGCGUGAAGGAAGAAGUAUCUCGGUAUGUAAACUUCUAUCAGCAGGGAAGAUAAUGACGGUACCUGACGAAGAAGCCCCGGCUAACUACGUG